ACAGUGGAUCGGAGGUGCGAGAAGUGCCUAGUCAGGGCAGAAGUCUCGGGCCCAGUCACACGGGUCUUCCAAGCAGCCUAGGGCUCUACAGCCCUAAAUACUGACGUUAUACCUCACGCUCGUACCUACCCCUCCAAACCCAACCCUUGUAUAUCUUACCUCUGUUGCCUCGGCGGGUAUGCCCGCCGGUGGACGCAAACUAAACUCUUGUAACAGCGUCAUCUGAGCAAACAAAAGCAAUAGUUA
rnacentral:misc_RNA from 1 species